rnacentral:rRNA from 1 species
GUCCACGCCCUAAACGAUGUCAACUAGUUGUCGGGGAAGUUAUUCCUUGGUAACGAAGCUAACGCGUGAAGUUGACCGCCUGGGGGAGUACGGCCGCAAGGUUAAAACUCAAAGGAAUUGACGGGGACCCGCACAAGCGGUGGAUUAUGUGGAUUAAUUCGAUGCAACGCGAAAACCUUACCUACCCUUGACAUGUCAGGAAGCCCCGCAGAGAUGCGGGGGGUGCCCGAAAGGGAACCUGAACACAGGUGCUGCAUGGCUGUCGU